rnacentral:tRNA from 1 species
GACCCCUUAGCUCCGGCCCAUAGGCGCCGGGUCUGUCGAGCCCACGGAUGAGAGGGAGAGACCCGGAGGUCGGGGGUUCAAAUCCCCCCGGGCCCACCA